AUACGUAGGUGACAAGCGUUAUCCGGAUUUACUGGGCGUAAAGGGCGUGUGGGCGGUCUUGCAAGUCAGAAGUGAAAUUCCUGAGCUCAACUCGGGCGCUGCUUCUGAAACUGCAGGACUUGAGUGCUGGAGGGGAUAGCGGAAUUCCUAGUGGAGCGGUAAAAUGCGCAGAUAUUAGGAAGAACACCGGUGGCGAAGGCGGCUAUCUGGACAGUAACUGACGCUGAGGCGCGAAAGCGGGGGGAGCAAAAAGGAUUAGAUACCCUGGUAGGCCACGUCGUAAACGAUGAUUACUAGGUGUAGGGGGUAUCCACUCCCUCUGUGCCGCAGUUAACACAAUAAGUAUUCCGCCUGGGGAGUACGGUCGCAAGGUUGAAACUCAAAGGAAGUGACGGGG
rnacentral:rRNA from 1 species